UAAUACAGAGGGUGCGAGCGUUAAUCGGAUUUACUGGGCGUAAAGGGCGCGUAGGCGGUAAGAUGUGUGUGAUGUGAAAGCCCCGGGCUUAACCUGGGAAGUGCAUCGCAAACUAUCUAACUGGAGUAUAUGAGAGGGUGGCGGAAUUUCCGGUGUAGCGGUGAAAUGCGUAGAGAUCGGAAGGAACGUCAAUGGCGAAGGCAGCCACCUGGCAUAAUACUGACGCUGAGGCGCGAAAGCGUGGGGAGCGAACAGGAUUAGAUACCCUGGUAGUCCACGCUGUAAACGAUGAGUACUAAAUGUUGGUAGGGGAACCUAUCAGUAUUGAAGUUAACACGAUAAGUACUCCGCCUGGGAAGUACGGCCGCAAGGUUG
rnacentral:rRNA from 1 species